rnacentral:lncRNA from 1 species
CUGGGUUUUCACCAUAAGUAACGGUAAACAAUGUCGCCUUUUUCUGCUGUGCUGCAUGGAUUAUAUGAAGCUCUAGAAACCAGUUUGUUCAUGAGAGGAAAACAAUAGCAGGACGAGAUUUAUCAAAAAGAGUUCAAAGUUACAUAGCAAAAAUUGAUGGAUCGGAAGAAAAACCACCUACUUUAGGUGAUAACAGAAGACAGAGACAGAUCACAAGAAAUGUCAAAGCAACUAUCUAUUUUGAUGCAGCAUUCGACAGCAAAUAUUCAAGAUCGACCUCGGCCCUGGUUGUGCGGGGGGAGAUGGAUGAGUUUC